GGGGCUGUAGCUCAGUUGGGAGAGCACCUGGUUUGCAACCAGGGGGUCGGCGGUUCGAGCCCGCUCAGCUCCACCA
rnacentral:tRNA from 1 species